UCUUGACCUCGGAUCAGGUAGGGAUACCCGCUGAACUUAAGCAUAUCAAUAAGCGGAGGAAGGAGUCCCGCUGAGCGUAAGCUUAUCAUAUGGCCGAGGAAAAGUAGGACUACCCGCUGAACUUAAGCAUAUCAAUAUU
rnacentral:rRNA from 1 species